GGGGGGAGGCAGUCUCCUGGGCUAACAUUUAAUCACGUUGCUAAAAAUCACCUGUUGAAGAGCAAAUAUAGAGAUUCAUUUUAGGAUGUUGACAAGUACCAUGAGCAAUGGAAUGUUCUCAGAAUGUAACACCGAACCCGUCUGGUAUUGACUGCUGUGUGGGUCGGAGUUUACAAAGAUUCCUUUCAUCAGUGUCAAACCAACAAAAAUUCCAUAAGUUCUUCCCCUCUCUCUCCCUCCCCCCACUAUUUAAAUUGGCUAUUCCAGUCUAAGGAUAUGUCUCAAAUUAUGAAUACUAAGUAUCCAGUCUGGUCUUCAAUGCAUAACUGAUGAAGGUGCCAAGGAACAAAUGGAUCUUUCAAUUCUGAUGUGACCUUUUGAGUGUCUGUGUGGAAAUUUUCGGAAUCCAUUUUUCCUUCAGCUGUGUAAAACGGUCUCCUUUGCUCCCGCUUUUUUAGAAGCGUUUAGGAAGCCGAAUGCAUUGUGGGGAGCAGUUGUCCUUUUUUCCCCCCUCUCUCCCUAGGUGAGUGUUUUGCACCUUUUAACUAGUUGUCCUACUGCAGAUGUGGCUCAAUACAUUCAUGAAGAGCUAUUAAUAUGAGAAAGUGAGUCUGUUCUUGCCAGGUGGGCAGUCUGAGCUGCUGGUUUGGUGGCUAUUCUGUAAUGGCUGGCUGAGCACAUUUUAUGUAACAUCUCUCUAAGCUAGGUGGCUUAUACUAUAACCACUGAAUUUUAAGACACUAGUGGGCUCUCCUGUUGGAACAAUUCCUCUCCUCCAAAUGAUUCUAAAUUGGGGAUUUUCCAUUUCCUAGAGCAUAGGUCUCCCCCCAGCCCCUCUUUCACUAGCCCCUGAAUAACAUUCUUAAGGCCCUUUCAUUGCUCUUCCAGGUAGUUUACUCGUGCUAGCUUCUUUUAAUGCAACCUGAGAGGUGGAAGCACAGAGGAAAGCCAAGUCUCCAGACUAGGCUGGAGUGAUAGGUGUGGGGAGGGGCAUGUACAUCUCCCCACACCAGAGUAGGAGAGGAAGGGGUUAAUUCCCUGCAAGGAGGCUUUGGUGAUGGGAGCAAGAGUUUCCACCUGGACUCUGCAGGGCAGGUAUUUAAACCAGUAGGGGAAGCAAACCGGCUGAGGGAAGGAAGGCUCCUCUGAAGGAAGAGGAGUUGAGCCAGGUGCUUGCCAGUGCCAGCCUGACAGCAAAGGGAGGAGAACUCAGGGACCAGCCUAGUUUUCUCUCUGCUCCAGCUGCUCUCAGAUAAGAUUUGACACCUUAUUUUCCUUUCAGGAGUGAAAGGAGCCUGUCAGGGACUUGGCAGCAGCUUCUUCCCAAUGCGACACCUGCCGCUGUAAGCUAGCCCUGGAGUGUCUGGAACAUAGCUGCCCUUCAAGGUGUUUUUCGGAGAGGAGCGGUUGUGUGCUCUGCUUUACGAGGCUUUUCUGGCCUCACUGAAACAACUUUGAAUUCUGCUUACACUGGAAAUCUCUGGUUCAAGUGCUCGUCCUACUUCACUCUACAACAUCCAUGCAAAACAUCUGAAGCAUUUACUCUAAUCGAUACUCUGGCAGUUUGAGGUCUCUAAAAGAAAGAGGCUGCGAUCAGCUGAGCUGUGAAAUACUCUGGAACUGUAUAUUAAUCUUAAUAUAAUUGCCCAAAGGGCACCGGCUGACCUGCAUUGCCCUGCAGCAGAAGUUACGAGACCUGCCACUUCCUCUGAUUUCAGCUGGAAUCGUGGGUGCUCAGCACUUCCAAAAAAUCAAAUGCAGGGUGUAUGAAAUGGGACCGCCCCAAAAGUGCAGCAUCCAAAUCCACCAGUCGCUUCUAAAAACAUUGGCCUUAGUGAUGAAGAAUCUUGCAGUCUACUGUAUUUCUUGGAGAGAAAGAAGUAAUGCCAUUUCAGUUAUUUCCUCCAUGCAAUUUCCCCUGCUAUGUUCCAGGUUUUGCACAACUUCUGCAUUGUUGUUUUAUAUUUCCUCUGGCAAGGGACAAUUUGGAGCUGCUGAGACACAGUCUUUCAUCAUAUUGAAGCAAGGCUCCUCUUGUUACGAAAGCUCUUUAUCUGAUUUCUCCAAAACCAGAAUUUUGUAGAAGAGGAACAGAUUUUUAUCUCAGCUGUUGAAUGACUUUUUUUCCUUUUGCUUGUGAAAUUGAUAAGCCAACUCAGGGAUGCUGGAACAAUUUGUAUAGUGGGGGUGCUGAGAGCCAUUGAACCAAACUGUAAACCCUGUAUAUGAUGGAAACCACUUCAAACCAGGGGGUACGACAGCACCCCUAGUUCCAGCUCCUAUGAGCCCACUUGAGAGAGACAGGGGGAGGGGUUGUUUUUGUUUUUUGUUUCCUUUUAUAUCAUGAAAAUGUCUAUCUGUUCUGCUAGCAGAAAAUGGCAAUUUAAAUUUUUA